AUCGCCUCAGCUGCUCUAAGCACCACUUCAAAAUUAACAAUCAAAAACUUCGGUGGAACACUUGUUCUUUCUCCCUCUUCCCUUUCCUCACGCAGAGGUCUUCGUCCGCAUCUGUCGCUCGCCACUCUCCGUUCUGCUCUCACAGCUCACGACAGGAGAUAAUAAGGAGGGAGCGCAGAUACGCGCGCCCCUACCUUCGAGGACUUCUCUUUCAGUACUUAGCUUUCUUCUCUCCGCCUUUUGGUGCACCUGGUUGUAGCACGUUGUGCGAGGGCGACACUGACCAACACGCAUCGACGGAAGAAGGCCAUUUUUUUUUUCGACAACGAUGUCGUCUCCUAGCGUGCUGGAGCUGUCGAAGCAGCUGAUGCAGCUCGACAACCAGGCGAAGGCCCUCCGCAACGAGGUGGAGUAUCUUCGCGCCACGAAGCGCUCCCUCGAAGUGUCGAAUACGACUGAGGGCAAGCUGUCGGAGAUGCGGGACAGCACGGGUAGCACUGCCAAGUCUCAGCGCUCUCGUGCCUCGGCGCGGCGCAGCGGUACGGCUGGCGGUACCAGCAUCUCUCUCCCGCAGGACUUCAUUGACGAUCUGGCGCAGAAGCGCAGUGACGUGGAGGCCUCCAUCCGCACGCACAAGAAGCUGCUGAGGGAGAAGGAGGCACUGCAAACUGCUCUGGCCAAGGCCGAGGAUGCCACCGAGGCGGCCGAGCAGGAGUACCUCGGUAUUGUGGAAGUUGUUGGCAUCGACACCGACGGCAAUUCGAACUCUGCGGUCGGCCUCAAGAAGAAGAACGCGUACGGCAUCGCCCUGAAAAAUGCAGUGGCGGUGUAUCAACAGCGUGAGAACGUUCGCAUUCAAAUGGAGGGCCAGUCCCGCGAGCUGCUGCGCCUUGCUGCGAUUCUGCAGGAGACGACCGAUGCGGAGAGUCAGCGCGCCGAGGCUGUAGAGGUACUCGCCGAGCGCAAGACGAAGCUGGAGGCGCUGCGCCACGAGUGCAACACGAUCGCGCGUGCGGCGGCUCGCAGGGAAAAGAUCGCCGACAGGAACCAGCACGGCCUCACAUCGGAGGAUUACAUCCGUCACAGCAACUUCGACCGCCGGGUCGCGCUGCACGAGCUGUCCAAGGAGGACAACCUCAUCAAGCAGAAUAACCUGGCCAUUCGCUACCGCGCCAUGCAAAUUGCGAAGAUUCAGGCGCACCUCGAACUGAUCGGUGACGCCGUCACCGGUGAUGACAUGGAGGAGGAGGAGCGCGUUGAUGCGGAUAUUGUCGAGGAGCUCGCGAAGGAGAUCAACGACUUGUACGAUUCCCACCUUGUGGCGAACCUUCGGAUGGACACCAUCGACUGCGAGAUUGAGAAGAUGGUGUGGCGCGCCUCUGCGUUGCAGCACGCAAAGGAGAGCACUGUGGUGGAGAUGGGACGUGUCCGCCGCGAGCACCGCCGCUACCUCGACGAGCUACAGAAGACCGUCGAUAAGGAGCGCGUUUCGAACGGCCAGACCAUCAUGCAGCUGCAGGACGAGCUCGAAACCCUUCAUAGGAGCUCUGCCCGCAAGAAGUAGCGGCCAAGGUCGUCGCCCAGCUUUGAGGCUGCCUCCGCUGAUCGCUUGUAAAGGAGGUUAGAGAACGAAAAAAAAAGGUAGUAGUGAUAUGCGGAAGGGUGUUGAUCGUCGUAUUGCGUCUGCGUGCACGUGUAUGUCGACGCGCGUGAGUCGAGCUGCGUCCGAAGCUGCCGAAAGUGUCCCGUAUGGGUGGGGGAACGGCAGCGGUGACGAAGCUUUCGCUGGCGCGCAGGCAUAUGCUUUCGGUACGGUGGCGUGACGCUUCUCUCCGCAAGGCUCUGUAUAUACGGAUGCGUUGCUGUAUCAGGCUUAGACAGCGGUAUCUCAACGGUUGAAACCGUUCUCGUGGGCAAGCAGAGGCAGGUCGAUUGUCUGGGAAGGUGUUCACACCGGCAUCGGCUACUGUGAGUGGAGCGUGUGUGGAAAGGCACAAGGGCACGGCUAUAGUGAAGGUCGUAGCGCGACAACAGCUGAAAUCUCUGCGUGUCCCCUUCACUCGUGUCAUUUGCCGGGCGCCUUCUCCGUACACCUCCAUAUCUCUCGGCUCCUUCCCCCCCUCUGUCUCUCUGAAAGCCCACAGCGGUCAGGUGCAUUGGCCGCUUUUCCGCCACUUCCAUCUGCUCGUGUAUCUGUACUCCUCUCUCUCUCCCUCUCUCUUACAUUCUUCCUCGCUGCGCCUGUGUUUGUGUGUCGGUGUGAUCGGUUGCCUUGCCCCCGAUGGCCUCCUUUCGCCCAUCGUUGAUUUAUCUGGUUGGUGUGCUACCGUUCCAGGGGCCUCACGAGCUGCAUUUCUCUUUCUCGGGCAGUUUUGCGCGCUUUGUGCCACCGCUGCUGCCAUCUUUCUCUCUCCCUCUCCCCCCUGUCUGUCUCUCGCUCGUUGUUUCUCACACCCUCGCUCUCCUGUAUUUCGUCCGCGGUCAGAAGAAAUGCGUGUUUGCGUGCGCGCGCGCGUGUGUGUGCUUGUGCUCGUUGGGUGUACACGCAUGUAGCCGCAUCGUUGUUUUAACGUUUUCAUGUGUUCCUUCUUUCCCCCUCCCCACUUCUCUACGCGGUGGAUGAGGAUGCUAGGCGAAACGAAAAAAAAACGAAGAGAAAGCGUGGGAGUAGCGGCACUUGUUAGCUAGCGAAGAAGGUUGCCGUUACGGCGCUGGUGCUGCUGGAGCCGCUCUCUUCUCAGCGUUCUGCGUCACCACUUCCCCUCCUCCCUCCUCUCAGUCUCUCUCCUCUCCACGGUGUGCCAGACCCUGAAAUAGCCUUCUCUCUCUCGCUCUUUGGCUUCCUUCAUUCUCGCUGUGUGGUUUUCCGUAAUGCUUGUCGCCUUUUUUUUUUGCUCGUGUGUUGCGGUCGUCUCACUUGUCUCUGUUUCGUAGGUGUGUGCGUACGUAUGUGUCUGCAUGUGUGUGUAUGUCCCGUCUUGUCCAUCCCCUUUCCCUCCUCUUCCCCUCUUUCCUUUGUAUGCCAUGAUUUUUUUUGUUUCUUUGGAGUCUCUCGCUCUCUCGUCCUUGACUUCGGGCUCCUCUGUGAUGGCGAGAACAGCAGAAUCACGUGUCUGUUAGCAAGGGGAGGCGGAGGAGGGCCUGCAUGGCGCAGACGUGUGGCUAUGUGCGCCGUCUUUGUGGGCGAGUGCGCAUCUGUGUGUCUGGCAUCAGAGUGUUGUCUCCCGGCCCCACUCUCUCUCUUAUCUGUACUCUCUUUCUUUUUUUUCUGUUUGUUUCUCUCCUCCGUCAUCUUACGUCAUUUCCCUCGCGCUGACAUGCGGGGGCGUCGUUUUGCGGAUCUCACGCAGUCGAGGCGAUGGCGACCGAGACAACGCCAGGCGAAUGCGUAUUCGGCACAGCAACAAAGCAGUUUGCCACGAGCGCUGCUUUUCAGCGCCAAGAGCUGCGUGUCGGGCUUUGUUCCUGUCGCUAGAUGCGAAAAAAAAAAUGAUCGAGGCGCAUUAGGUAAUCGCAUGAGAGAGCCGCGCUGAAAAAGCUGCCCGAGCUCACUUCCUCUCCGCGUGUGAGAUAUGUGCGGCGUGGCUUUCAUGACGGAGCAGGUAACUCAGCGCAUAGCUGUAAAGAUGUUAGCGUUGACGAGAGGCGCAUGGCAACAGGAUCAGCAUGCGACGACGACCUGGCAGUCGAACUUCUUCUUUAUGGCUGCGCAUAAGUCACGGCAAUGGGGUUCCAAUCUGGCCCGACGUCUUCAAGCGGUUCAUUUCCGUUCUUCUCUCUGUCUUGCUGCCUCCAACUUCUCAUGAACUACCCUCUCGCCCCAUCGUACACAUGAUCAUGAUUUGUAUGUGUAUGCGUGUCUGACUUCCUCUCCUCUCGUCCUCUACCGCGACCUCAUCACAG
rnacentral:misc_RNA from 1 species